rnacentral:rRNA from 1 species
AACGAACGCUGGCGGCAUGCCUAACACAUGCAAGUCGAACGAGACCUUCGGGUCUAGUUGCGCACGGGUGCGUAACGCGUGGGAACCUGCCCUUAGGUUCGGAAUAACUCCCCGAAAGGGGUGCUAAUACCGGAUAAUGUCUUCGGACCAAAGAUUUAUCGCCUUUGGAUGGGCCCGCGUUGGAUUAGCUAGUUGGUAGGGUAAAAGCCUACCAAGGCGACGAUCCAUAGCUGGUCUGAGAGGAUGAUCAGCCACACUGGGACUGAGACACGGCCCAGACUACUACGGGAGGAAGGAGUGGGGAAUAUUGGAAAAUGGGCGAAAGGAUGAACCAGCAAUGCCGCGUGAGUGAUGAAGGCCUUAGGGUUGUAAAGCUCUUUUAACCGGGAUGAUAAUGACAGUACCGGGAGAAUAAGCUCCGGCUAACUCCGUG